rnacentral:rRNA from 1 species
UGUACUUGAUUCAAAUGCGAUGUGGGGACGGAGAAGGUUAGGUUGGCAAGCUGUUGGAAUAGCUUGUUUAAGCCGGUAGGUGGAAGACUUAGGCAAAUCCGGGUCUUCUUAACACCGAGAAGUGACGACGAGUGUCUACGGACACGAAGCAACCGAUACCACGCUUCCAGGAAAAGCCGCUAAGCUUCAGUUUGAAUCGAACCG